rnacentral:rRNA from 1 species
AGUCAAGCGUUCGGAACCAGAGACGCUCGUUGCGAACGAACCCCACUUCCCACGGCAGACCGCACGCAGCCCCACUCCCCUAUCCAUUCCCCCACUCCGGACCCCAUUCCUCUUGCCACAUCGAGGUCCUCGCCGGCGACCCGGCGACGAGCGCAAGGGGACGGCGAGGAGAGGUCCUGGCCGGUGACCCGGCGACGAGCGCGAGGGGACGGCGAGGAGAGGACCUGGCCGACGACCCGGCAACGAGCGCGAGAGGGCGAGGAGGAGAGGUCCUGGCCGACGACAGACUCGCCCGCCCGCUCCUCCGACGACGGAGCGCACGACAAGGGCACAACAGAGUGGCGGGGGGAGCCUGUCGAGGGCCCGACGAGAUGAUGUCCUGGCCGGCGACGGACUCGCCCGGCCACUCCUUCGACGAUCAGCUGGAGGUCGCCAGCGUCCACAUCGUCGUCGUCCGCAACGCCGGCGGCCUCGAUGCUUGGGGCUGGGCUUGCCUCCGCUGCACCGCCCUCUGCACAAGGAGGUGCAGAGCGACACACCAUCCCAGGCGUAGCGCCCUACCCCCGGGCGGUGCGGCUCAUCCAAUUCGGAGAGCUUCAGUUCCCUCGACAGACCGGCGACGAGCUACGUGCGGGGUGAGAACCCAAUGUUCAGAAACCUGAAACCUGACUACUAGUUCAUGCAAAACCCAAUGUUCAGAACCGAAGUAGUUGCUAUUUUGUUCCUCUCUGGAACCUGACCAUAUUUGUGCACUUCAUGCAAAAUCACUAGAUCCUAGAUUCCUAACCUAUCUACCAUUUCAAUUUUCUUAUCAUGAUGUUUAGCAAAACAUGCCAAUUUCUUACAUUAUUACAAAUUCUUACACCAUGGCAACUUUUAUAAUUGAUAGUUCAUUCACAUGACAAUUUUCUUGAUAGUUUUUGUACUAACAUCAUGGCCCAUCUCAGAUUUAGUGUUUUCUAUUGGUCAUAUAGCAAAUUUAGGCUUUUUUUAGUAACUACGUGUCAUAUGGUCAUAUGGCAAUGAGGUGAUCAUUUGCAUUUUAAGAUGUCUUGUUUUCUGGUCAUAUGGCCAUAUAGGCUUUUUGUUAGUAACUAUGUGUCAUAUGGUCAUAUGGCCAUUACCUAGUUUAAUUAGAUAUAUCAAAAGUUUCCGAAGUUGCCAUGGCAACAAAUGUAAAAGCUUCUGAAGUUGUCUCCCUCCUUUACACAUGGCUACUUUCUUUUACUUACUUACAUUUUUGCAAUUUUAUUCUACAAUCCGUGGCGAUAUUCUUUUAAAUAACAUGACAAUUUUAAUAUGCAUUUUCAC